UGGGGAAUCUUGGACAAUGGGCGCAAGCCUGAUCCAGCCAUGCCGCGUGAGUGAAGAAGGCCUUCGGGUUGUAAAGCUCUUUUACCUAGGGACGAUAAUGACGGUACCUGGAGAAUAAGCCCCGGCAAACUUCGUGCCAGCAGCCGCGGUAAUACGAAGGGGGCUAGCGUUGUUCGGAAUUACUGGGCGUAAAGCGCACGUAGGCGGAUUGUUAAGUCAGAGGUGAAAUCCCGGAGCUCAACUUCGGAACUGCCUCUGAUACUGUUGGUCUUGAAUCCGGUAGAGGUGGGUGGAAUUCCUAGUGUAGAGGUGAAAUUCGCAGAUAUUAGGAAGAACACCGGUGGCGAAGGCGGCCCACUGGACCGGUAUUGACGCUGAGGUGC
rnacentral:rRNA from 1 species